rnacentral:rRNA from 1 species
ACGGGAGGCAGCAGUGGGGGAAUAUUGCACAAUGGGCGCAAGCCUGAUGCAGCCAUGCCGCGUGUGUGAAGAAGGCCUUCGGGUUGUAAAGCACUUUCAGUCGUGAGGAAGGUAGUGUAGUUAAUAGCUGCAUUAUUUGACGUUAGCGACAGAAGAAGCACCGGCUAACUCCGUGCCGGCAGCCGCGGUAAUACGGAGGGUGCGAGCGUUAAUCGGAAUUACUGGGCGUAAAGCGCAUGCAGGUGGUUUGUUAAGUCAGAUGUGAAAGCCCCGGGGCUCAACCUCGGAAUUGCAUUUGAAACUGGCAGACUAGAGUACUGUAGAGGGGGUAGAAUUUCAGGUGUAGCGGUGAAAUGCGUAGAGAUCUGAAGGAAUACCGGUGGCGAAGGCGGCCCCCUGGACAGAUACUGACACUCAGAUGCGAAAGCGUGGGGAGCAAACAGGAUUAGAUACCCUGGUAG